GCCUGAUAUCCGUGUUCUGCUUGCUGACACAGAGGAAGGCUUCUUUAAAGACAGCGUCCUUCUUCAUUCCACACAGAGAGAUGAGAGGAGCAGCUAUGAGUUUAACUGCAGCAACAAGUGGAUUUGUCGUCUUCCUUCUCUCUGUGUCAGUGGUACAGAGUCAGUAUGACUGGGGAGUGACGUACACUUAUACUGAGAUCUGUGCCUUCAAAGGAUCAACAGUGGAAAUAAACUGCACCUUU